UAAAAUAGAAUAUCCAACCUAAGACAGCAGGUGCCCAAAGGCUUAAUUUCCUGCCGAGGUACAAUUCAUAGAUUUGAACCCCGCUGUCUUUAUGCCAGUGGGGU
rnacentral:sRNA from 1 species